ACUCGUAGACUCCUACGGGAGGCAGCAGUGGGAAUAUUGACAAUGGGGAAACCCUGAUGCAGCCAUGCCGCGUGUGUGAAGAAGGCCUUCGGGUUGUAAAGCACUUUCAGCGAGGAGGAAAGGGUGUGUGCUAAUACCAUACAUCUGUGACGUUACUCGCAGAAGAAGCACCGGCUAACUCCGUGCCCAGCAGCCGCGGUAAUACGGAGGGUGCGAGCGUUAAUCGGAAUUACUGGGCGUAAAGCGUGCGCAGGCGGUUUGUUAAGCGAGAUGUGAAAGCCCCGGGCUCAACCUGGGAAUUGCAUUUCGAACUGGCAAGCUAGAGUCUUGUAGAGGGGGGUAGAAUUUCAGGUGUAGCGGUGAAAUGCGUAGAGAUCUGAAGGAAUACCGGUGGCGAAGGNGGCCCCCUGGACAAAGACUGACGCUCAUGCACGAAAGCGUGGGGAGCAAACAGGAUUAGAUACCCUGGUAG
rnacentral:rRNA from 1 species